ensembl:lncRNA
UAUAUACAGGGUGUUACGGUACCUAGUCAAUGUGGAGGCUAUAUACAGGGGGUACAGGUACAGAGUCAAUGUGGAGGCUAUAUACAGGGUGUUACGGUACCUAGUCAAUGUGGAGGCUAUAUACAGGGGGUACAGGUACCGAGUCAAUGUGGAGGCUAUAUACAGGGUGUUACGGUACCUAGUCAAUGUGGAGGCUAUAUACAGGGGGUACAGGUACCGAGUCAAUGUGGAGGCUAUAUACAGGGUGUUACGGUACAGAGUCAAUGUGGAGGCUAUAUACAGGGUGUUACGGUACAGAGUCAAGGUGGAGGCUAUAUACAGGGGGUACAGGUACCGAGUCAAUGUAGAGGCUAUAUACAGGGGGUACCGGAACCGAGUCAAAGUGGAGGCUAUACACAGGGUGUUACGGUACCAAGUCAAUGUGGAGGCUAUAUACAGGGUGUUACGGUACAGAGUCAAUGUGGAGGCUAUAUACAGGGGGUACCGGUACAGAGUCAAUGUGGAGGCUAUAUACAGGGGGUACAGGUACCGAGUCAAUGUAGAGGCUAUAUACAGGGGGUACAGGUACCGAGUCAAUGUAGAGGCUAUAUACAGGGGG